AAUUGAAUAUCGCUAAUAUAAUCGAGAGGAUAUGGCUCUCAAGUUUCUAGCAAAUCGCCUUAAAUGAUUUGACUAUUAGUUUU
rnacentral:ncRNA from 1 species